rnacentral:rRNA from 1 species
CCUACGGGAGGCAGCAGUGAGGAAUAUUGGUCAAUGGGCUUACGCCUGAACCAGCCAAGUCGCGUGAGGGAAGACUGCCCUAUGGGUUGUAAACCUCUUUUGUCAGGGAGCAACGCCGGCUACGUGUAGCCGGACUGAGAGUACCUGAAGAAAAAGCAUCGGCUAACUCCGUGCCAGCAGCCGCGGUAAUACGGAGGAUGCGAGCGUUAUCCGGAUUUAUUGGGUUUAAAGGGUGCGUAGGCGGCAUGCCAAGUCAGCGGUAAAAUCGCGGGGCUCAACCUCGCUCCGCCGUUGAAACUGGCGUUCUUGAGUGGGCGAGAAGUAUGCGGAAUGCGUGGUGUAGCGGUGAAAUGCAUAGAUAUUAGGAGGAACAUCAGGGGCGAAGGCGACUUACUGGACUGUAACUGACACUGAGGCACGAAAGCGUGGGGAGCAAACAGGAUUAGAUACCCCUGUAGUC